rnacentral:rRNA from 1 species
GAUGAACGCUGGCGGCGUGCUUAACACAUGCAAGUCGAACGGUGAAGCAGAGCUUGCUCUGUGGAUCAGUGGCGAACGGGUGAGUAACACGUGAGCAACCUGCCCCUGACUCUGGGAUAAGCGCUGGAAACGGCGUCUAAUACUGGAUAUGAGCUGCGACCGCAUGGUCAGCAGUUGGAAAGAUUUUUCGGUCUGGGAUGGGCUCACGGCCUUUCAGCUUUUUGGUGAGGUAAUGGCGUACCAAGGCGUCUACGGGUAGCCGGCCCUAGAGGGGGACCCGCCCCAGCGGGACCGGGAUCACGCCCCGACUCCUACCGGGGGGAGGCGUGGGGAAUAUUUCACAAUGGGGCGAAGCCGUAGUCAGCAACGCCCGGGUCGGGAUGAGGGCCUUUGGGGUGGAAACCUCUUUUGCCCGGGAAGAAGCGGGAGGGACGGGAACCGGUAAAAAAGCCCCGGCUAACUACGGG